UGCACUCACUUGUGUAAGUCACUCUGGAUAAAAGUGUCUGCUACAUGGCAUAUA
rfam:Salmo salar isolate Sally breed double haploid chromosome ssa26, whole genome shotgun sequence.